rnacentral:rRNA from 1 species
CACUAUGCUUAGCCCUAAACAUAGAUAGAAUUCCACCCCUCUAUCCGCCCGGGUACUACGAGCAUUAGCUUGAAACCCAAAGGACUUGGCGGUGCUUAAGACCCAUCUAGAGGAGCCUGUUCUAGAACCGAUAAUCCCCGUUCAACCUCACCCUUCUUAGUCUCCCCCGCCUAUAUACCGCCGUCGUAAGCUUACCCCGUGAGGGACCAGUAGUGAGCUUAAUUGGCAUAGCCCAGAACGUCAGGUCGAGGUGUAGCUUAUGGAAGGGGCAAGAAAUGGGCUACAUUCCCUCAUCUAGGGAACACAGAUAACGCGCUGAAAUACGCAUUUGAAGGUGGAUUUAGUAGUAAGCAGAAAAUAGAGUGUUCUGCUGAAACCGGCUCUAAAGCGCGCACACACCGCCCGUCACUCUCCCCUAGCACACCUUAUUUUUCUUAAAUAAAGCAACACC